UACAGAGGGUGCGAGCGUUUAAUCGGAAUUACUGGGCGUAAAGCGUGCGUAGACGGUUACAUAAGUCGGGUGUGAAAGCCCCGGGCUCAACCUGGGAAUUGCAUUCGAGACUGCGUAGCUAGGGUGCGGAAGAGGGAAGCGGAAUUUCCGGUGUAGCGGUGAAAUGCGUAGAUAUCGGGAAGGAACACCAGUGGCGAAAGCGGACUUCCUCGG
rnacentral:rRNA from 1 species